rnacentral:rRNA from 1 species
UACGUAGGGCGCAAGCGUUAUCCGGAAUUAUUGGGCGUAAAGAGCUCGUAGGCGGUUUGUCGCGUCUGCCGUGAAAGUCCGGGGCUCAACUCCGGAUCUGCGGUGGGUACGGGCAGACUAGAGUGAUGUAGGGGAGACUGGAAUUCCUGGUGUAGCGGUGAAAUGCGCAGAUAUCGGGAGGAACACCAGUAGCGAAGGCGGCACUCUGGGCCGGUACUGACGCUGAGGAGCGAAAGCGUGGGGAGCGAACAGG